rnacentral:rRNA from 1 species
UACGUAGGGUGCGAGCGUUAAUCGGAAUUACUGGGCGUAAAGGGUGCGUAGGCGGUUUGCUAAGACAGGUGUGAAAUCCCCGGGCUUAACCUGGGAAUGGCGCUUGUUACUGGCAGGCUAGAGUGUGUCAGAGGGAGGUAGAAUUCCACGUGUAGCAGUGAAAUGCGUAGAGAUGUGGAGGAAUACCGAUGGCGAAGGCAGCCUCCUGGGAUAACACUGACGCUGAGGCACGAAAGCGUGGGGAGCAAACAGG